GACGAACGCUGGCGGCGUGCUUAACACAUGCAAGUCGAGCGGUAAGGCCCUUUCGGGGGUACACGAGCGGCGAACGGGUGAGUAACACGUGGGUGACCUGCCCUUAGCUCUGGGAUAAGCCUGGGAAACUGGGUCUAAUACCGGAUAUGACUCCAUGACGCAUGUUGUGGGGUGGAAAGCCUUGUGCGGCUAGGGAUGGGCCCGCGGCUUAUCAGCUUGUUGGUGGGGUGAUGGCCUACCAAGGCGACGACGGGUAGCCGGCCUGAGAGGGCGACCGGCCACACUGGGACUGAGACACGGCCCAGACUCCUACGGGAGGCAGCAGUGGGGAAUCUUGCGCAAUGGGCGAAAGCCUGACGCAGCGACGCCGCGUGGGGAUGACGGCCU
rnacentral:rRNA from 1 species